rnacentral:lncRNA from 1 species
GCGGCCGCGGGGCUUCCCCGCCUCCCGAGAUCGGUGCGCCCCGCGCUCGCUCGGCCGCUGCUUGUCCUGCUCCCCGCCUGGCUAGCCUUGCCUCAGCUGCCUGCCCUGGCCGCGCCUCCUCCCGCCCUCCGGGACGGCGUUACGCUGCCCCCUUCCUCCUGCGCCUCCGCCUCCUUCCACACAAAUACCAACUCCUCAACCCGAGCCCAGAUCUCGCCGCCGCCGCCGCCGCCACACUCUGCUCUGGCUCGGCCUCGCGAGACUUCCGCAGGGGUCUCGGCCCGCCCCGCCUCGAUCCCACUCGCUGUUCUGGCUCUCGCUCCUCCCUCCCUACCAAUCGCACUACUUCUCUAGUCGCCGAGGCCCCGCCUACUAAACCAGGCUCCUCCGGAUUGGGGGCCGCUGGGUUAGGGGGCGUGGUGACCCUCACGCGCGCUGGCUGGCCCCUGGCGCGUGACGUCAGCUCCGCGCCGCCGUCGCCUUACGGCGCUCCGCGUCGCGCGAACCCCGCCAUCCACGGUGCAACAGUGACAAAACCGCCGCUUGGGGCCUCAGUCGCUGGCAGGAGUGGGGCGUCGGCGCUGCGCCUUCCGCCUCUGGAGUCGGCGAACUUUCCGCGCGACCCCGGCGCACGGUAACUGGAGCUGGGGUGAAGGGGGGCGCGCGCCUGGGGCUGGUGUGCUGCCGGCGGAGCGUGCGAACAGCGGCCGUGUCGCCGCAAUAAAGUCUGCUCUGACGAGAA